GGGCGUAGCUCAGUUGGUUAGAGCGCCAGAUUGUGGCCCUGGAGGUCGCAAGUUCGAUUCUUGUCGCC
rnacentral:tRNA from 2 species